rnacentral:rRNA from 1 species
GUGGAUCCUGAGUACGGCGGAACACGUGAAAUUCCGUCGGAAUCCGGGAGGACCAUCUCCCAAGGCUAAAUACUCCCUAGUGACCGAUAGUGAACCAGUACCGUGAGGGAAAGGUGAAAAGCACCCCGGAAGGGGAGUGAAACAGUUCCUGAAACCGUGUGCCUACAAGUAGUUAGAGCCCGUUAAUGGGUGAUAGCGUGCCUUUUGUAGAAUGAACCGGCGAGUUACGAUUUGUUGCAAGGUUAAGCGGAAAAAGCGGAGCCGUAGCGAAAGCGAGUCUGAAUAGGGCGCAUAAGUAACAGGUCGUAGACCCGAAACCAGGUGAUCUACCCAUGUCCAGGAUGAAGGUAAGGUAAUACUUACUGGAGGUCCGAACCCACGCACGUUGAAAAGUGCGGGGAUGAGGUGUGGGUAGCGGAGAAAUUCCAAUCGAACUUGGAGAUAGCUGGUUCUCUCCGAAAUAGCUUUAGGGCUAGCCUCGAGGUAAAGAGUCAUGGAGGUAGAGCACUGUUUGGACUAGGGGCCCUUCUCGGGUUACCGAAUUCAGAUAAACUCCGAAUGCCAUGUACUUAUACUCGGGAGUCAGACUGCGAGUGAUAAGAUCCGUAGUCGAAAGGGAAACAGCCCAGACCACCAGUUAAGGUCCCCAAAUAUAUGUUAAGUGGAAAAGGAUGUGGGGUUGCUUAGACAACCAGGAUGUUGGCUUAGAAGCAGCCACCAUUGAAAGAGUGCGUAAUAGCUCACUGGUCGAGUGACCCCGCGCCGAAAAUGUACCGGGGCUAAACAUAUUACCGAAACUGUGGAUGAACCUCUUUAGAGGUUCGUGGUAGGAGAGCGUUCUAAGGGCGGUGAAGUCAGACCGGAAGGACUGGUGGAGCGCUUAGAAGUGAGAAUGCCGGUAUGAGUAGCGAAAGAAGGGUGAGAAUCCCUUCCACCGAAUAUCUAAGGUUUCCUGAGGAAGGCUCGUCCGCUCAGGGUUAGUCGGGACCUAAGCCGAGGCCGAUAGGCGUAGGCGAUGGACAACAGGUAGAGAUUCCUGUACCAGUGCUAAUUGUUUAACCGAUGGGGUGACACAGAAGGAUAGGGAAUCGCACGAAUGGAAAUGUGCGUCCAAGCAGUGAGUGUGAGAAGUAGGCAAAUCCGCUUCUCGCGAAGCAUGAGCUGUGAUGGGGAAGGAAAUUAAGUACGGAAGUUCCUGAUUUCACGCUGUCAAGAAAAGCCUCUAGGAAGAGUAGUACUGCCCGUACCGCAAACCGACACAGGUAGAUGAGGAGAGAAUCCUAAGGUGAGCGAGAGAACUCUCGUUAAGGAACUCGGCAAAAUGACCCCGUAACUUCGGGAGAAGGGGUGCUCUAUUAGGGUGCAAGCCCGAGAGAGCCGCAGUGAAUAGGCCCAGGCGACUGUUUAGCAAAAACACAGGUCUCUGCAAAACCGUAAGGUGACGUAUAGGGGCUGACGCCUGCCCGGUGCUGGAAGGUUAAGAGGAGUGCUUAGCUUCGGCGAAGGUACGAAUUGAAGCCCCAGUAAACGGCGGCCGUAACUAUAACGGUCCUAAGGUAGCGAAAUUCCUUGUCGGGUAAGUUCCGACCCGCACGAAAGGCGCAACGAUCUGGGCACUGUCUCAACGAGAGACUCGGUGAAAUUAUAGUACCUGUGAAGAUGCAGGUUACCCGCGACAGGACGGAAAGACCCCGUGGAGCUUUACUGCAACCUGAUAUGGAAUGUUUGUACCGCUUGUACAGGAUAGGUAGGAGCCGAAGAGACGUGUGCGCUAGCAUACGAGGAGGCAAUGGUGGGAUACUACCCUGGCUGUAUGACCAUUCUAACCCGCCACGCUUAGCGCGUGGGGAGACAGUGUCAGGUGGGCAGUUUGACUGGGGCGGUCGCCUCCUAAAGAGUAACGGAGGCGCCCAAAGGUUCCCUCAGAAUGGAUGGAAAUCAUUCGCAGAGUGUAAAGGCACAAGGGAGCUUGACUGCGAGACUGACAAGUCGAGCAGGGACGAAAGUCGGGCUUAGUGAUCCGGUGGUUCCGCAUGGAAGGGCCAUCGCUCAACGGAUAAAAGCUACCCCGGGGAUAACAGGCUUAUCUCCCCCAAGAGUCCACAUCGACGGGGAGGUUUGGCACCUCGAUGUCGGCUCGUCGCAUCCUGGGGCUGUAGUCGGUCCCAAGGGUUGGGCUGUUCGCCCAUUAAAGCGGCACGCGAGCUGGGUUCAGAACGUCGUGAGACAGUUCGGUCCCUAUCCGUCGCGGGCGCAGGAAAUUUGAGAGGAGCUGUCCUUAGUACGAGAGGACCGGGAUGGACACACCGCUGGUGUACCAGUUGUUCCGCCAGGAGCAUCGCUGGGUAGCUAUGUGUGGCAGGGAUAAACGCUGAAAGCAUCUAAGCGUGAAGCCCCCCUCAAGAUGAGAUUUCCCAUUUCUUCGGAAAGUAAGAUCCCUGAAAGAUGAUCAGGUAGAUAGGUUUGGAGUGGAAGUGUAGCGAUACAUGGAGCGGACAAAUACUAAUCGAUCGAGGACUUAACC